rnacentral:rRNA from 1 species
GAUUGAACGCUGGCGGCAGGCCUAACACAUGCAAGUCGAGCGGAUGAAGGGAGCUUGCUCCUGGAUUCAGCGGCGGGCGGGUGAGUAAUGCCUAGGAAUCUGCCUGGUAGUGGGGGAUAACGUCCGGAAACGGGCGCUAAUACCGCAUACGUCCUGAGGGAGAAAGUGGGGGAUCUUCGGACCUCACGCUAUCAGAUGAGCCUAGGUCGGAUUAGCUAGUUGGUGGGGUAAAGGCCUACCAAGGCGACGAUCCGUAACUGGUCUGAGAGGAUGAUCAGUCACACUGGAACUGAGACACGGUCCAGACUCCUACGGGAGGCAGCAGUGAGGAAUAUUGGACAAUGGGCGAAAGCCUGAUCCAGCCAUGCCGCGUGUGUGAAGAAGGUCUUCGGAUUGUAAAGCACUUUAAGUUGGGAGGAAGGGCAGUAAGUUAAUACCUUGCUGUUUUGACGUUACCAACAGAAUAAGCACCGGCUAACUUCGUGCCAGCAGCCGCGGUAAUACGAAGGGUGCAAGCGUUAAUCGGAAUUACUGGGCGUAAAGCGCGCGUAGGUGGUUCAGCAAGUUGGAUGUGAAAUCCCCGGGCUCAACCUGGGAACUGCAUCCAAAACUACUGAGCUAGAGUACGGUAGAGGGUGGUGGAAUUUCCUGUGUAGCGGUGGGAUGCGUAGAUAUAGGAAGGAACACCAGUGGCGAAGGCGACCACCUGGACUGAUACUGACACUGAGGUGCGAAAGCGUGGGGAGCAAACAGGGUUUAGAUACCCUGGUAGUUCCACGCCGUAAACGAUGUCGACUAGCCGUUGGGAUCCUUGAGAUCUUAGUGGCGCAGCUAACGCGAUAAGUCGACCGCCUGGGGAGUACGGCCGCAAGGUUAAAACUCAAAUGAAUUGACGGGGGCCCGCACAAGCGGUGGAGCAUGUGGUUUAAUUCGAAGCAACGCGAAGAACCUUACCUGGCCUUGACAUGCUGAGAACUUUCCAGAGAUGGAUUGGUGCCUUCGGGAACUCAGACACAGGUGCUGCAUGGCUGUCGUCAGCUCGUGUCGUGAGAUGUUGGGUUAAGUCCCGUAACGAGCGCAACCCUUGUCCUUAGUUACCAGCACCUCGGGUGGGCACUCUAAGGAGACUGCCGGUGACAAACCGGAGGAAGGUGGGGAUGACGUCAAGUCAUCAUGGCCCUUACGGCCAGGGCUACACACGUGCUACAAUGGUCGGUACAAAGGGUUGCCAAGCCGCGAGGUGGAGCUAAUCCCAUAAAACCGAUCGUAGUCCGGAUCGCAGUCUGCAACUCGACUGCGUGAAGUCGGAAUCGCUAGUAAUCGUGAAUCAGAAUGUCACGGUGAAUACGUUCCCGGGCCUUGUACACACCGCCCGUCACACCAUGGGAGUGGGUUGCUCCAGAAGUAGCUAGUCUAACCGCAAGGGGGACGGUUACCACGGAGUGAUUCAUGACUGGGGUGA